UUAAAACACCUGUUCUUAUAUGAUCACCAAAGUUAAGCAACAUCGUCUGGUCACUACCUAGAUGGGUGACCACUUGGGAAUACCAGGUGUUGUG